GGGACGAAAGUUCGUCGCAGUCUGCCUACCCUCCAGACUUUCGCCGCCACUUCCCGCAGUUUUCCCCCGCUUGCAUUAACAGAAGCUUCUGCAGAUACGUGGCCACGCGGCGCUCGGCCCACUAGGUAUCAGACGCGCGUCCUAAAACAAGUACCAGGAGGUAGGGGGCCGAAGAGGCGGUAACUUCGACCUCCUUGUGACAGGAACAACGGUCUAACAUUUGCACGGGCAGUCCACCAUCGCAUUCCUUUCCUUAACCCUACUGGCAUUUCGCGGAACGUGAAAGCGGAGCUCCUGAAAACCAACCACUCAUCAUCUUUGAUCGCAUUAUGGUAUGAUCAUGCAGCACAAGCAGCUCUACAUUUAGGUCUAGAGUAGCCAACACCAAGCAGGUCGCGGGUAUGCAACACAGGCACAGAUUAUGCACCAAAUGUUAUAUAUAAGCGACGACUUUAGAUAAGCCGAAGAAUAUCAAUCUAGUUUCGUGUUUGUAAAGUUCCGUAACGCAGAGGGCUGGCACGUUCCAAAUGUUGCCUAGGCUUACAAGGAGAACACUUUUCCUCAUGAGAAAUGACGCAACGUGUUUACCU
rnacentral:lncRNA from 1 species